rnacentral:lncRNA from 1 species
GCGGGUACUGGCCGUGGCGGGCCGCGGGCGUGGUGUGGUGCGUGCGAUCUCUCACGGGAUCCCGUUUCGUCGCGGAGACCUGGAGACGCCGUGCGCGCGCGGAAACGUGGUUCCGCGCAGCCGGGAGGGAAGGCGACGGGGGGGGAUGGGGGGAUCAGGGGAGAUAUGCGAAUCUGCGCCCGGGGAUCACACAGCACAGCACAGAACAGAUCUGCUGCACCUGGACACUGGGAGAGAGUGAGAGACCGCCCGUUUACCACGCGACGGGUUAGGUGGGGAGGCGCCGGCAGCGAGCAGACAAAUCACGUUGCACGGCGUACUGUCACUUGGCCUCCGCCUCCAGCUCCGGGCGCAUCACGCUACAGUGACACGCCUGUUUGUUUGUUUACUCCCGAAGGGAAAAAAAAAACAAGAUGCGCAAGCUUGUGGCCGCGUACGCGACGACCGUGGCCCGUGCUUUUCUUUCCACUAAUUCCGUCAUCUUGUGAUGGUGAGAUGCACAAACUCUGCUCGAAGAUUUCCUUCCCCGGUGGCCAGGCUGCUAUGUUGGACUACUGGUGGAAGAAGAGGAUUAAGAUAUUGGACCAUGAUUGCCCAUAUUUUAUUAUCAGUAGUUUACCUAUCCUGUUGGUGGAGCAAUGGAGCAUGAGAUUCGGGUCGAUAUUUUCUACAGUACUCCUGAAAGCAAAGGUCCCGGUAGAUCUUGCUUGGCUGCUGCGGAGAAAUGGGAUGGGAAGUAUCCGUUUGACGCAUCGAAGAGGCAGGAGCUACCACUACCAGCUGCACAUUCCUCCGUCGCCCUUUUCUUGCAACGAGACGCUUCGCAAGAACCAAUAAGUACUCCAAACUGCACUUUGAAUCAGUGACUUAAAAAACAAAAAAAACAGCUAGCUAAACAAUACUCAAGUUGCAGCUACGCUACGCGAUGCGGAAGGUUUUUUUCUUUCAUUUUGCAGUUUCUGUGAGUGUGCCUUGAC